GACGAACGCUGGCGGCGUGCUUAACACAUGCAAGUCGAACGGAAAGGCCCUGCUUUUGUGGGGUGCUCGAGUGGCGAACGGGUGAGUAACACGUGAGUAACCUGCCCUUGACUUUGGGAUAACUUCAGGAAACUGGGGCUAAUACCGGAUAGGAGCUCCUGCUGCAUGGUGGGGGUUGGAAAGUUUCGGCGGUUGGGGAUGGACUAGCGGCUUAUCAGCUUGUUGGUGGGGUAGUGGCUUACCAAGGCUUUGACGGGUAGCCGGCCUGAGAGGGUGACCGGCCACAUUGGGACUGAGAUACGGCCCAGACUCGUACAGGAGGCAGCAGUGGGGAAUAUUGCACAGUGGGCGGAAGCCUGAUGCAGCAACGCCGCGUGCGGGAUGACGGCCUUCGGGUUGUAAACCGCAUUCGCCUGUGACGAAGCGUGAGUGACGGUAAUGAGUAAAGAAGCACCGGCUAACUACGUG
rnacentral:rRNA from 1 species